AAGUACGCUCAAGUGCUACGAUCACGUGAAGGCUAUGCGAAAUAUCACAAGUCACCUACGAGUCGGAACCACCUAAUGUGGUAUGUACAACAGGCUGGCACCUGCCUUAGAUCCAAGGUGAGCAUGCGGUGCGGGAGGUGAACAAUCACAUGAAGGCUGACCCUGGCCUCGGGCGAAGCAUUAACACUAGGGUGCAGGAUAAUGAGCACUAAAUGCAUUUAAACAUGACCAUACACACUGCAAUCACCAUCUUCAAUAUGUACUCACCUGAACCUUACCUGGGCGUUCGUAGCAUCAUGCAAUAAUAUGCAUAUCUAUACUAAUGCAUAUACCAAAAUGUAAUGCAAUUGACAUGGCAUUUAAAAAUGUAAAUCCAUUUAAAACCAUUUAUGGGAAAAUGGAAAACAUAUAUACAUCUAUAGAAAACCAAAAGCCCACUCACCUGGAGUCUGCGCCACAACUCCCUAGCACAAACAUCAAGGCGUCACGAACGAUCGGCGCAUAGAACAAUUAUCAAAUCAUGCCUUAGAAUUCUUAUCAAUAGAACAUGUAACUUACAUUUCUUAUUCGGGAAGAUCCGUACGUCGGAUUCCCGAUCCGUAAAUUUCUAAUAUCCUCAAAUAUUACGUAUUAUAACAUAUCAAAGUUUGGUGACGAUCCAACGGUCGAAUCGUCGAUUCAUAUAAUUAUCAAGUAAUGGACCUUAAUCAAACUAGAUUCACAAUACUUAAAUCACAUCAUAUGGAUAUCAAAUAUGAGAUUAGGAUAUCAAUUUAGUGUAAAAUAGCAUUGGCGGCCCACUG
rnacentral:lncRNA from 1 species